rnacentral:rRNA from 1 species
GUGGGGAAUUUUGGACAAUGGGCGCAAGCCUGAUCCAGCAAUGCCGCGUGCAGGAAGAAGGCCUUCGGGUUGUAAACUGCUUUUGUACGGAACGAAACGGUCCGGGUUAAUACCCUGGGCUAAUGACGGUACCGUAAGAAUAAGCACCGGCUAACUACGUGCCAGCAGCCGCGGUAAUACGUAGGGUGCAAGCGUUAAUCGGAAUUACUGGGCGUAAAGCGUGCGCAGGCGGUUUUGUAAGACAGGCGUGAAAUCCGCGGGCUCAACCUGGGAAUUGCGCUUGUGACUGCAAGGCUGGAGUGCGGCAGAGGGGGAUGGAAUUCCGCGUGUAGCAGUGAAAUGCGUAGAUAUGCGGAGGAACACCGAUGGCGAAGGCAAUCCCCUGGGCCUGCACUGACGCUCAUGCACGAAAGCGUGGGGAGCAAACAGGAUUAGAUACCCUUGUAGUCC